UUAAGGUGUGACGAAAUGAUUGAAGAAAUGGUUGCAGUUUCGUUUCUUCGUUUGUUCAGUCUGCGCAUGUGCGCUGUUUAGAAUCCUGGAAAUAUAAAGCCGCUAAAAAUCAGAGAAGAUUUGUAUCUUUAUUCGACUGAUACGAGAUGUUUCGUGAAUUGCGCUAUACCUUGACAAGCGAUCGUGGGAAUGGUCUUCACGUGCUGCCUGUAACGCAGUCUGAAAGCGGAGCCGUACUGAGAGCCCUGAGAAGGUCGUCUUGCUGCUGUGCCUCCAUGACAUAACCACUGUAUGGCCUUAUGACCAGCACUGCGUCCUCCCUCUGUUUGUUUGUAUAUGUGCCAUGUAAAUCAGGGGGGAGAGAGAUGCAGUUCCUUUAAGGAGCGUAAGACAAAGGUCAUGGAAACAAGACUAUUCUGUAAUCCCCACCGCCACCUUCUCUGCACAUCCUGUAUGUCGAAUCCGAAAGUUUUCCCUCAUACUGAAACGGUCUUUGGCCACUACACUACACUACAGUCUGAGCUAUGAGUAACACAACGAAUGUAACACCUGUGUAUAGCUCAAAUAAAUAAUGCUGAAAUCUCCUA